CGUAGCCGAGGUUCACAAUGGUUUCUCGAGGGGUGAAAAUUACAAUGUUACCCUCAACUACAUGCAAUAUUUGUUUUAUUAUACUGAAUGUUAUGUAAACUGGAAAGCAGAAAAACUUACGUCUGUUGACAUUUGAUCAAUCACUGUCAUGCGAUAUUUCGUAUUUCGAUGCGGGUACUCGCGUUUAUUACAAACGCUCAAACGACGUCGUCUAGCAAUCUACGGCGAACCGUACGCGCAUACAUUUGACGCAUUUGAUAAUUUUUUAUAUCACCCGUUGUCAAGUACUGUUACCCGUUGCUAGAUACUAUCACCCUGGGGCGCGUGUUUUUUGUUUUUGUUCUCAGAGGGUAACAAUAUGUUUUUUCAAAUGCUUCUCGACCAAUCAGGUUCGAGUAUUUUACAUGAAAGUAUGAUAACACCAAUUACUUCAUCGUAAUGAUAUUUCAUAUGGGAGUUGUUAACUUGGUUACAUGUAUCAGUUAACCAGGACCCCUAUUUUUCUGGUCAAGGGUCAAUUUUCUCUGGACAUAGGAAUACCUAGUCUGCUCAACAUCUUGAGAACCCUUUGCUUGACAGACAUCAAACUUAGUACGCUGGUACAUCCCAAAGAGUAGAUAACCCCUAAUGAUUUUGAGGUCACAUGGUCAAGGGUCAAACAGGUCAUAGAAAUUAUAUACUGACCACUCAAUGUCUAGAGAACCCUUUGCUUGACAGACAUCAAACUUGGUACACUGGUACAUCAUCAGAAGAUGACCCCUCUUGAUUUUAAGUCACAUGGUUAAAGGCCAAGGGUCAAACUGGACAUAUGUAUAUAUUGACCACUUAAUGUCUAGAUAACCCUUUGCUUGACAGACAUCAAAUUUGGUACACUGGUGCAUCUUCAGGAGAUGACCCUUCUUGAUUUUGAGGUCACAUGGCCAAAGGUCAAUGGUCAAACUGGAUAUAGAUAUUGUCCAAUCAAUAUCUUGAGAACCCUUUGCUUGACAGACAUCAAAUUUGGUACAUCUUGAGGAGAAGAUGACCCCUAUUGAUUUUGAGGUAACGUGGUCAAUGGUUUAAUUGUUUCCUAAUUUUUAAGAACUCUUCGCUUUACUGACACCAAAUCUGGUACAGCAUAAGAAGUAGAUGACCCCCAUUGAUAUUUGGUCACUUGGUCAAUCCACUCCUCACAUUGGAAGAUAUUGUCUGCUCUAUUUCGAAUUGGUGAUACUACUAUCAAUCAAAUUAGGCACGUGUAUACCCGUUUUCAAUUUUGCACCAUGGGGGCAUAUACAUGUAUGUUUUACAAACACAACUUGUGAUUACAAGCAUUACUGAUGAACUUGCGGCUCACGUUUCUCAAGCCAUCAAAAUUAAAUUUGGGCAAAACAUUAUGUCAAUUUAUCUUAACUCUUGAAUUCACAAUCACACAACAACCAUGAUACGCACAAAUUUUCAAUCAUACAAGGUCAAUUAGUUCUCGAACCCAUCAUCAAACAUAACAAAAUUCCCACGAUUCAUAACUCCAUAGAUGGAUUUUUGAUAUUCCCAAGUAUAUAUUUAGCUAGGCACCUUUCUGACAUCCAGGGCAUCUAAAAAAUAUAUUCACGCCAUUCUCAUAGCACAUGAUCGUAACUAGUUCUAGCCGGCUCGAGUACGAUAGGUGUUCAGGCCAACAACAACAAAAUCCCUCAACCUCCUCUGGUUCCAUUGAUGCUGGGUUAUGGCUCAUGUAUAUAUGCAAUCCUAGGUUUCCUACCAAGUAACCCUUCAAAUCAGUGAAAAACCACAGACACAUUGCUACAUACACACUGGUACAUUUAAAUAUUCAUUGUUUGAUUCAAAAUAUUCAGUGAAUUAUGGAUUCAUUGACCUCAAAUGUUGCGAUCAUCACUUUAAAGGCCCAUGCCUUAAACCACACAGCAUCAACUUAUCAAAUGGGCAUAAACUCUCUUCAAACUUUCGUACCAAAUAUGAAUUCCAGCUAUGUUGGCCCCCACCAGUUCACCAGUGUAUCAACUAUAUUGCUUUCUUAAGUACCACCUAAGUAUCGUUUUCAACGGCUAGGUGAAUUAGUUAUAAAAUUCAGUUAGAGGGCGGUAUUGACAACACAAAACCUUCAUAGUAAGCUCAAUCCUACAGGGAUUUCAUAGGCUGAACCUAGUAAAGUAUGCCCGUUUCCCUAUUACUCUUCGUAUAUCUAUCCUACCAAUAGUUUGUUCAAGUUCAUACGAAGCCGCCACGUUUCCCACCGCAUUUCAGUUGGCAAUUUUUGCAUUGUUGCGGGUUGUUGCUAGUCCUGCCGCUCCUACACUAUUGUACUAUCACGUAUCAAUAGGCGAUGUACAUAUUUCGUUGUUUAUAACUGGCUCAAAACAUCAAUGCAAUAGGGGUUCUAUGUUGCACAUUUCACUCAACUCACGAGCAGAUUCAUUGUUCAAGCACAUGCACAAUAUUUUGUCCAUUAGACCAAUCACGUGGCCCAUUUUACUGCCACCUUAAUGCCAAACCGCUCACAAAAUAUCAACUUGCAUCAUUAUUGCACAGGCCUAUUGAAUUCAUCGGUCUAGAUCCCCAACAAUAAAUUCAGGCUAGAGGCAGAUGGAAAUGUGAAUCAUUUAAUGCCUAUACCAGAGCCUAAAAAUUCAAAUUUUUAAGUGUACCUGCAAUAUUGUGCGUCCUAAUUCCAUACUACUGUCUGAAUUAUUGCCUCUUCCAUUAUUCAUUAUCCUGCCCGCCGUAUAUGGAUUUACUACAGCACAUCUUUUUAGUGUGGUAAGAGUGGCAUGGUGUGGAAGGAGGUGGGGCCUAUUGUUGCACAAAGGGGCAAGCCUGAUGUUAUAUUAAUUAAUUGGGGAGGGGGGCCGUAUUGGUACAACACCAUUGGCUAGAUUGCAAAAAUUUCUGAAAUUAACUAUUGCCAGGAUGCCUAUUUACAACUCCACAAACUCGGUUCAUAUCGUCCCAGAUCCUCCCCAGGCGUUACUAUACACAUACGUCUCAAUAUUGCAGCAGACAACGCACGUACGAGUAUUAUCAAAUCAUUAGCUCCAUUCGUAACAUCACACAAUGCCGAAUACAUAAAAUACCUAGGUCUUCAACAAUGCUCUUCCAAAUUUCACAGACACAGUAUGCAUUGUCUGAUAUUGCUCAGGUUAUGUUUUUAAACAGUAUCUGGGAUGGAUUGCUCAGCAUUGUCCAAAGAAACGCUAGAAUAUUUCCUUAACCUAACUACUAUUUCAAUUUGAUAAGCAGUCUCCCUGUCGUGGCUCGAGCAAAAUUGUGCCCGCUUGUGGCGGAUGUCUUCAUGUAUGUUAACAUUUCUUAAACAUACAUGAAGACAUAUGGCCGAAUUUUGCUAAGCCUGCCACAGAUUUUGUUUCAGUCCAGGUCCGUGGCCAAUAAUUGGGCUUAUUGACAUUGAAUGAUUGAUUGAUAUAUUGAUUGAUUGACACAUUGAUUGAUUGAAAAUAUUGAUUGAUUGACACAUUGGUGCAUUGAAAUAUUGAUUGAUUGAUUGAAAAUAUUGAAUGAAUUAUUGAUUGAUUGACACAUUGGUGGAUUGAAAUAUUGAUUGAAAAUAUUGAAUGAAUUAUUGACUGAUUGACACAUUGGUGGAUUGAAAUAUUGAUUGAAAAUAUUGAGUGAAUUAUUGAUUGAUUGACUCAAACAUGCAUGGACUAUUGAUGCUACAACAUUACUAUCCAAAAGUCGUUGUAGAUCAUGCAUUUCAUUACAGAGUGUAUAUGAUAUACAUACUGAUGGUUUGUAUUGAUAUGAACAUUGUCGUUGAAUUGGAAAUAUGUUUUUAUUAAGUAAAGCCAUGACAGAGACUGCCAAUACGUGUUAUCGUUCUGUUCUAUUGAAAUAAUUGGUUUUAAUAACAUAUUGACAUAAAGUACGCUUUUUAGCACCACACGGCUUGCAUAAAUUUUCUUUUCUAAAAAAUAGAUUAUUGUGUUUCUUAUGUACCAGAAUGUCUUUUAAAUUUUUGUCUCUUUUAAAAGUCACUAUGGGCAUAUCUCUAAAAACGUUUUUGAGGCGGUCAGAAUUUUCAAGAAUUUUUUGACGGUUUUUAAAAAAUCUUAUGAAUAUUGAGAAGCCCUCUAGAAUAGUCUACCACAAAGGGAACACGGUUACCCUGCUUCGUAUUUUUUCUGUAGUUUAAGAGAUUUGAUCGGUCGAGUUUAUCUACUUUCUUAAGUUCAUUUUUUUUACAUCAUUAUCCAAAUAACCGCGUUUUCCUAGAUUUUUCUUUAUUUCCUUCCGCUGAAUUUGAUAUUUUUCUUCUGUGGAACAAAUUCUACGCGCACGGAGCCCAAGUCCAAAAAAGCAAACAAAUUACCAACAAGAUGAAAAAAAAGAAAAGAAAGGUUAAUGAAAUGUACAAAAGAGGAUCCAUUUCGUCUGAAUUAAGACAUUAUCUACUACCCACCGAAGUAACAUCAGGAAAACCCCAAGCUAACCCAAAAAUACACAAAAAUAACAAUCCACUCAGGACUAUAGUUAAUGGCCGACAACACCCGACAGAAAAGAUAGCGGAGUACCUUGAUUCGCAACUUGAGAAUGCGAAUAGAUCCCUUGGUAGCUAUGUCCAGGAUACUACAGAUUUUUGAAAAAACUUUCAAGUGUAAAGCAACCAUUACCAGAUUCUUCUAUUUUAUUUUGUAUUGACGUGAAAGCACUUUUAUCCCUGUAUACACAGAAAAGAAGCUCGCGAUAUUACAAGAACGUCGUGAAAAAGAGUUAGACACGGAAAGUAUAUUAAAAAUGUUGGAUGACGUUCUUGACAAUAAUAAUUUUAGUUUUAAUAACAAACAUUACAUGCAGACUGAAUGGACCGCGAUUGGAUCAAAACUUGGGCGAAACCACGCUUGUGUUUACAUGGGGGGAUGGGAACAGAUUCUUCUCGAAAAAUCAAAACAACUACCAUUAUUUUAUGUACGUUAUAUUGAUGAUAUUUUUGGCAUCUGGACGGGUACAGAAAAAGAACUUAAACAAUAGGGGCUGUAAGCUCGCAAACGAGAUGACGCGAGAUUUGAGUACUUUCGGUGACAAACAAACCUUUACGGUUUGCAUGAAAUCAUACCACUUGGAAAUAUCCUGCAGUUUUUAUCGUUGUUUUUUGGUCGAUGCAAAGAAGUGGACGUUAUGGGGAAAGUUGUGCAGGUUAGAUGGAUCGAUCCCAUUGAGACUACUCUCUUGAAAUAUUCCCGGACACCUUGAUACCCAGGCCAUGACAUACAGUUCCUGUAAGUGCUGACAUACCGUCAAAGCAGUGACUUGUGUAACACCGAAUGGUGCAAUCACUCAUUUUUCAACUUUGAGUAUUGGGAUCAACAUGUACUCCACAGAAAAGUUCCAGCAAAACCCAAAGCUGGAAACCAUCUGUGAUCAAUUAAAACAAUGUGUGUCCUUGAACAUUCCAGCUUUUUAUCCUUGAGAGGACAGUUGGCUUAUAAAAAAGUUGAACUGUGUUACAUAUUAGCCAGGGGAGUAUUUACGUCUAGAGGGCUAACGAAAGGAUAAAAUCCACAUGCCAGCAGUCUGCGAGCCAAUAUUAACCAAGAUAAAUAUGUGCAUGGGAUGCAUUAAACAGUAUAUUAAAUUCUAAUAACUGUUUAUUCAACCGUAAUAUUUUUAAAACAUUUUUUGGAGUGACUGUUAAGUACAAUGCUCUACAUGUUCACAUCUUCAGGAAUUAAGCACUCGGAUUUUUUUUUUGGGGGGGGGGGAUAUUUUAAUAUCGUUUUCUUCAUUUAUUAUUAUUAUUUGGAAAUCCUGUAUGAUUAAAAUAAAAUUCGUGUGUCAAAUAGUUUAGUAUAAAUAAAAAAUGCACUAUUGAUUGUUAUUGUUUUACUAAGUAUGUUUUAUCAAUACAUGUUGAUUUUGAAUUCAUUCAGGAAUGGAAAUAUUAAAAGAAUAAUUCUGUUAA